UACGUAGGUGGCAAGCGUUGUUCGGAAUUAUUGGGCGUAAAGGGCUCGUAGGCGGUCUGUUGCGUCGGGAGUGAAAACUCAGGGCUUAACCCUGAGCCUGCUUCCGAUACGGGCAGACUGGAGUACUGCAGGGGAGACUGGAAUUCCUGGUGUAGCGGUGGAAUGCGCAGAUAUCAGGAGGAACACCGGUGGCGAAGGCGGGUCUCUGGGCAGUAACUGACGCUGAGGAGCGAAAGCGUGGGGAGCGAACAGG
rnacentral:rRNA from 1 species